rnacentral:rRNA from 1 species
CCUACGGGUGGCAGCAGUAGGGAAUCUUCCACAAUGGACGCAAGUCUGAUGGAGCAACGCCGCGUGAGUGAUGACGGGUUUCGGCUCGUAAAGCUCUGUUGAUAGUGAAGUAAGAUAGAGGACGUAUCUCUCCUUUUUUUGACGGUAUUUACUUAGAAAGUCACGGCUAACUACGUGCCAGCAGCCGCGGUAAUACGUAGGUGGCAAGCGUAGUCCGGAUUUGUUGGGCGUAAAGCGAGUUCGGGCGGUUGGAUAGUUCUGAUGUGAAAGCCUUCGGCUCAACCGGAGAAGUUCAUCAGAAACAGGUGAACUUGAGUGCAGAAGAGGAGAGUGGAACUCCAUGUGUAGCGGGGGAAAGCGUAGAUAUAUGGAAGAAAACCAGUGGCGAAGGCGGCGCUCUGGUCUGCAACUGACGCUGAGGCUCGAAAGCAUGGGUAGCGAACAGGAUUAGAUACCCGGGUAGUC